UACGUAGGGGGCAAGCGUUGUCCGGAAUCAUUGGGCGUAAAGAGCUCGUAGGCGGUUGGGCAAGUCACGUGUGAAAUCUCCACGCUCAACGUGGAGGCGCCACGUGAGACUGCCCUGACUCGAGUCCGGUAGGGGAGCGUGGAAUUCCCGGUGUAGCGGUGAAAUGCGCAGAGAUCGGGAGGAACACCCGUAGCGAAGGCGGCGCUCUGGGCCGGUACUGACGCUGAGGAGCGAAAGCGUGGGGAGCAAACAGG
rnacentral:rRNA from 1 species